rnacentral:rRNA from 1 species
UGAGGAAUAUUGGUCAAUGGACGGAAGUCUGAACCAGCCAAGUAGCGUGCAGGAUGACGGCCCUAUGGGUUGUAAACUGCUUUUGUAUGGGGAUAAAGUCAAUCACGUGUGAUUGUUUGCAGGUACCAUACGAAUAAGGACCGGCUAAUUCCGUGCCAGCAGCCGUGGUAAUACGGAAGGUCCGGGCGUUAUCCGGAUUUAUUGGGUUUAAAGGGAGCGUAGGCCGGAGAUUAAGUGUGUUGUGAAAUGUAGACGCUCAACGUCUGACUUGCAGCGCAUACUGGUUUCCUUGAGUACGCACAACGUUGGCGGAAUUCGUCGUGUAGCGGUGAAAUGCUUAGAUAUGACGAAGAACUCCGAUUGCGAAGGCAGCUGACGGGAGCGCAACUGACGCUUAAGCUCGAAGGUGCGGGUAUCGAACAGGAUUAGAUACCCUGGUAGUCCGCACAGUAAACGAUGGAUGCCCGCUGUUGGUACUUAGUAUCAGCGGCUAAGCGAAAGCAUUAAGCAUCCCACCUGGGGAGUACGCCGGCAACGGUG